rnacentral:rRNA from 1 species
UGGGGAAUAUUGGACAAUGGGCGCAAGCCUGAUCCAGCCAUGCCGCGUGAGUGAUGACGGCCCUAGGGUUGUAAAGCUCUUUCGCCAGGGAUGAUAAUGACAGUACCUGGUAAAGAAGCCCCGGCUAACUUCGUGCCAGCAGCCGCGGUAAUACGAAGGGGGCUAGCGUUGUUCGGAAUUACUGGGCGUAAAGCGCACGUAGGCGGAUCGCUAAGUCAGGGGUGAAAUCCCGGGGCUCAACCUCGGAAUUGCCCUUGAUACUGGUGGUCUAGAGUCCGAGAGAGGUGAGUGGAACUCCGAGUGUAGAGGUGAAAUUCGUAGAUAUUCGGAAGAACACCAGUGGCGAAGGCGGCUCACUGGCUCGGUACUGACGCUGAGGUGCGAAAGCGUGGGGAGCAAACA